rnacentral:tRNA from 1 species
AGCGGAGAGCAGUUCGGUAGCUCGUCGGGCUCAUAACCCGAAGGUCGCAGGUUCAAAUCCUGCCCCCGCAACCA